GGUCAUGAGCGCCAGCGACAAGCCCCGGCUUGCUGGCCGGCAACCCUCCAACCGCGGUGGGGUGCCCCGGGUGAUGACCAGGUUGAGUACCCACUGACAAGUGGUACCGGCAAGCGCGGGUC
rfam:Mycobacterium sp. 852014-51730_SCH5271717 contig_14, whole genome shotgun sequence.